GAUGAACGCUGGCGGCGUGCCUAAUACAUGCAAGUCGAGCGAACGGACGAGAAGCUUGCUUCUCUGAUGUUAGCGGCGGACGGGUGAGUAACACGUGGAUAACCUACCUAUAAGACUGGGAUAACUUCGGGAAACCGGAGCUAAUACCGGAUAAUAUUUUGAACCGCAUGGUUCAAAAGUGAAAGACGGUCUUGCUGUCACUUAUAGAUGGAUCCGCGCUGCAUUAGCUAGUUGGUAAGGUAACGGCUUACCAAGGCAACGAUGCAUAGCCGACCUGAGAGGGUGAUCGGCCACACUGGAACUGAGAAACGGUCCAGACUCCUACGGGAGGCAGCAGUAGGGAAUCUUCCGCAAUGGGCGAAAGACUGACGGAGCAACGCCGCGUGAGUGAUGAAGGUCUUCGGAUCGUAAAACUCUGUUAUUAGGGAAGAACAUAUGUGUAAGUAACUGUGCACAUCUUGACGGUACCUAAUCAGAAAGCCACGGCUAACUACGUG
rnacentral:rRNA from 1 species